UGCCAGCCGCCGCGGUAAUACGGAGGGUGCAAGCGUUAUCCGGAAUCACUGGGUUUAAAGGGUGCGUAGGCGGCCCUGUAAGUCAGAGGUGAAAGCCCACAGCUUAACUGUGGAACUGCCUUUGAUACUGUUGGGCUUGAAUUAGGUUGAGGUUAGCGGAAUGUGGCAUGUAGCGGUGAAAUGCAUAGAUAUGCCAUAGAACACCAAUUGCGAAGGCAGCUGGCUAGACCUUUAUUGACACUGAGGCACGAAAGCGUGGGGAGCAAACAGGAUUAGAUA
rnacentral:rRNA from 1 species